rnacentral:lncRNA from 1 species
GGCAGGGCCAACCCAGGGGAGCUCAGCUGUAUGCAAUUUGUUCAAGUGACCAGAAGGGGUGGAACCAGGAUCCUCCCCUUCCCAUACCACAUUUAAGGGUUGGCAGUGGAAGCAAAGUUACCUUGUUGGAGGUUCUUGUCUUUGUGAGGCCUUGUGAAGUCAUCAAAUGAUUUGGGACCAUUUGGCUCCUACUCCACCUGGCCUACUGACAUCUGUUGGGAUCACGUGUUU